rnacentral:rRNA from 1 species
UACGGAGGGGGCUAGCGUUGUUCGGAAUUACUGGGCGUAAAGCGCACGUAGGCGGCUUUGUAAGUUAGAGGUGAAAGCCCGGGGCUCAACUCCGGAAUUGCCUUUAAGACUGCAUCGCUAGAAUUGUGGAGAGGUAAGUGGAAUUCCGAGUGUAGAGGUGAAAUUCGUAGAUAUUCGGAAGAACACCAGUGGCGAAGGCGACACACUGGCCCGUUACUGACGCUGAGGCGGCGAAAAGCGUGGGGAGCAAACAGG